rnacentral:rRNA from 1 species
UGAGGAAUAUUGGUCAAUGGGCGGGGAGCCUGAACCAGCCAAGUCGCGUGAGGGAAGACGGUCCUAUGGAUUGUAAACCUCUUUUGUCGGGGAGCAAGAAAGGGUAUGCAUACCCUACUGAGAGUACCCGAAGAAAAAGCAUCGGCUAACUCCGUGCCAGCAGUCGCGGUAAUCAGACUGU